AUCUAAGCAUUCGCUUUCUUUCUCUCGUUCUAUUAAUUAGACUCUUUAUUUUCUUUUGUUCUGUUUCCUCUUUUUUAUGGCUUUAGUAGUAGCAGUAGUAGUAGUUAGUACUUGGGGUAACAAACUACAAAGGCAUCCAAGAAGUGAUGGCAUUGGCCUCUUCUCGUAUAAGUAGUCGGUUGCCCACCCCAACCACGCGCCCCCCCCACCCCCCUUCUGUUCUUCCGCCGCUCCCCGUCACCUCCUCUCUUGGCCUCCUCCUCACGGUUUAUUUGGGUUGGUUUUCCUUCAACAGAUGAGGAGGAUUGGGAUCGUCCAGACGACUCCGACGUAUGUUGUAGAGGACCCCAUCGAUGGCCGGACUAUUGGGAGGAGACAGGCGACACCGCUCUGCUAGCUAGCUCCGCUAUCUGCUGCCCCGACAAGGCCGCGUCAGUGUAGCUUAAGUGGAGGAGACGGGUCCGGCGACAGCCGCGGCGUGGGAGAUGCGUCUGCAGCUUGCAGAGGGGAUGUUGGGCAUUUGGGUUUGAGCGUGACCAUUGGCAGGCAUGAGGAAGGAAGAGACAAUCCGAGGAUUUCACUUUGGUCGGUUGGCCGAGAGAGAGUUGCGCAAUAAUUUAACGUUGCUUUUUAUCCUUGUACGAAUCCUUAUAGUUUCCGUUCCCUGAGCUUUAAUUAUUUCUCUUCAAAACGUUUA